UUCCGCCCUGGUGUAACGGCAGCACGCAGGCCUUUGGAGCCUUGCAGUACAGGUUCGAAUCCUGUGGGCGGAGCCC
rnacentral:tRNA from 1 species